UGACCUGCGGAAGGAUCAUUACUAUUCGGUAGUUUACUACCGUUAUGAUGGGGAGUAGAAACUUUCUAGGCUUGCCUGGCGAGGAGUAUAUUCCUUUUCUCAACCCUUGACUUUUUGCGCACUCAUGUUUCCUUGGCAGGUCUGCUUGCCGGUUGGACAACUCAAGAACCCUUUAAUUUUCAAUCAGCGUCUGAAUAAUUAUAAUAAUUACAACUUUCAACAACGGAUCUCUUGGUUCUGGCAUCGAUGAAGAACGCAGCGAAAUGCGAUAAGUAGUGUGAAUUGCAGAAUUCAGUGAAUCAUCGAAUCUUUGAACGCACAUUGCGCCCCUUGGUAUUCCAUGGGGCAUGCCUGUUCGAGCGUCAUUUGUACCCUCAAGCUUUGCUUGGUGUUGGGCGUGUUGUCUACUUCAUUGUAGACUCGCCCUAAAUUCAUUGGCAGCCGAUAUCUUGGUUUGAAGCGCAGCACAAUUGCUAUUCAAGCCACCGUUAUCAGUACCCAGAAAGAAAAUUAUCACUUUUGACCUCGGAUCAGGUAGGGAUACCCGCUGAACUUAAGCAUAUCAAUAAGCGGAGGAAAAGAAACCAACAGGGAUUGCCCUAGUAACGGCGAGUGAAGCGGCAACAGCUCAAAUUUGAAAUCUGGCUCUUUUAGGGUCCGAGUUGUAAUUUGCAGAGGGCGCUUUGGCAUUGGCAGCGGUCCAAGUUCCUUGGAACAGGACGUCACAGAGGGUGAGAAUCCCGUACGUGGUCGCUAUCCUUUGCCGUGUAAAGCCCCU
rnacentral:rRNA from 1 species